rnacentral:SRP_RNA from 2 species
GCUGGGCAUAGUGGUGCGUGCCUGUAAUCCCAGCUACUUGGGAGGCUGAGGCAGGAGAAUUGCUUGAACCUGGGAGAUGGAGGUUGCAGUGAGCCCAGAUCGUGCCACUGCACUCCAGCCUGGGCAACAGAGCAAGACCCUGUCUCGA